CUUAGUCUUUAACUAGCCAUCAAAGUGAUUGGGCCAGUUUUCAAUCAAACUUGAAAACCCAAAACCUUCAUACCUUCUCGCAAUUCACUCACUAAAACACACACACACAAAACCUCUCUGAAAUCCGGUGGAGCGGAAUCGCCGCCGCAGCUGCAGUAGCUUCGUCUUUGCACAAUUAAUCUAGCAUUCAAAUUCCCAACUCUAAUAGUAAUUAAGAUCAGAUCCUCCGCGCCUCUUUUUUCUUCUUCGCAAGAUUUCUCCUCCUCCAAGCUUCUUCUUCUCUACGGUAUUUCUCUGCCCUUAUUAAAUUUUCUAAUCCGCAAAAAAGUAUCUUUAGAUUAGAUGCUCAAUUUCUUGCCUUGUUAUCAGUAAUAAGCAAAAACUGUCGAUGCUUAGUAACUACAAAAAUCUCUUGCGGUAAUGAUGUUGCGAUCCGAGCUCGAAGCCAACGAUAUCGCAAUGAUCACCACAAACCACACAACAACAGCAAACAACACAACCACGCGCAAACACACGCAACAGAGCAAUCGAGCUAAGAUAGAUAGAUCUGAGCAAUCGAAUGUAUAUUGCAAAAGAGGAAUUACGAAUAGCAAUAACAAGCAAGUAACACCACGAUAACAAUGAGAAUGAAAACUGAGAACUGCUACAAGCAAGUAACACCACGAUAACAAUGAGAAUGAAAACUGAGAACUGCUACGGAUCACGGAUCCUAGCCCCAAUCAACAAUCACACAACUAACAUAACAAAUGAGAGUGUGGUCCUUCCUUUUAUAAUUCACGCAAUGUGCACCGCGUCCGCCUAUAUUCCCAUGUGCCCCCGCUCAGCGAACUCACGUACUCCCCUUUCUCAUGCCAGCUCGGAUGUCCACGUGGACCUAUUAUUAUCCGCAUACGGACCCUUAUUCCUUCAUUGCAUGACGCGGUUAUUGUGCAUGCAACAACACUCCCCCUUAAGGUUCCUUGUCCUCAAGGAACCAAGGAAAACGUGCUUUGAUUUCAUCCGCAUAUUCCCACGAAGCAUCCGCGGGUGAGUACCCCUCCCAAUGUAUGAGCCACUAAGUAACAGCUUGGUUGUUUCUUUUCCCCAUCUUUCUUUCAAGUAUAGCCUAUGGCAGAGCAUCCUUAGGGCCUGUUCAAGUAACAUGAUAUGAGCAGAAAUGAGCUUAUUUCUUGGACUUAUUGGCUGUUCAAGGUACAAGGUUUAGGCUACUGACGCCCGCAGAUAACUUUCGGGCCCGCAUUGUUCAUAUGGGAAAUAUGCCAAAUCCAAUUCUGACGAUGGAGGUGCUUUUUGAUUUCUGCAUAGAAAUUUGGAUCCAGUAAUGGAUGGGAGAUUACCAUUUUGCCUAUGAAAUUUUAAAAUCACCCUUGCUAGCUCUCUCAUUUUCCCCCCUUCAACUAAUGUCGACCCAACCCUAGCUCUGCAUAAAUCGAUUCCAAACGGUGCUCAGAGCUGAAUUGGUUGUGCACGGAAGAGUUUCGGCGGUGACUUUCCCCAAUCACCCCAGAAUCCUGAAAGUUACAAAAUCAGAGGCUAUACGUCGUCAUCGUGCUCCUGAUCUGCUCCUCUGUAAGCCUAGCAAUAUGCCUCGUAAAGAAGAAACGCCAGAAUGCGUUUGCGGGAGUGGGAAAAUGGAACUUAAGCGUGUCGGGCCGGCAGCGAUGAAUGCAGGCCGGUACUACCUGAAGUGCCCAGUCGAAGGGAAGCAUCCUGGGUCUUUUAAGUGGUUUGAUUAGGUGGUCGGUGACAAUUCGCUUCGCAGCUGCAAUAUCUAGGCUGAGCUAGUUAACCGCCCUCGAGAUGUACGUGGAACAUAGACUAUAUCUGAAGCAACGUCCCACUCCGUGAUAAGUGAU